AUUGAACGCUGGCGGCAGGCCUAACACAUGCAAGUCGAACGAGUGGCGGACGGGUGAGUAAUGUCUGGGAAACUGCCCGAUGGAGGGGGAUAACUACUGGAAACGGUAGCUAAUACCGCAUACCAUCGGAUGUGCCCAGAUGGGAUUAGCUAGUAGGUGGGGUAACGGCUCACCUAGGCGACGAUCCCUAGCUGGUCGGAGAGGAUGACCAGGCACACGGGAACGGUGACACGGUCCAGACGCCUACGGGAGGGAGCAGUGGGGAAUAUUGCACAAUGGGCGCAAGCCUGAGGCAGCCAGGGCGCGUUGAUUAAGAAGGCCUUCGGGGUGGAAAGUACUUUCAGCGAGGAGGCGUUACUCGCAGAAGAAGCACCGGCUAACUCCGGGCCAGCAGCCGCGGGAAUUC
rnacentral:rRNA from 1 species